rnacentral:rRNA from 1 species
UACGUAGGGUGCAAGCGUUAAUCGGAAUUACUGGGCGUAAAGCGUGCGCAGGCGGUGAUGUAAGACCGAUGUGAAAUCCCCGGGCUCAACCUGGGAACUGCAUUGGUGACUGCAUCGCUUGAGUAUGGCAGAGGGGGGUAGAAUUCCACGUGUAGCAGUGAAAUGCGUAGAGAUGUGGAGGAAUACCGAUGGCGAAGGCAGCCCCCUGGGUCAAUACUGACGCUCAUGCACGAAAGCGUGGGGAGCAAACAGGAUUAGAUACCCUGGUAGUCCACGCCCUAAACGAUGCCAACUGGUUGUCGGGUCUUCAUUGACUUGGUAACGUAGCUAACGCGUGAAGUUGACCGCCUGGGGAGUACGGUCGCAAGAUUAAA